UGCUUAAUUCGAGGCAACGCGAAGAACCUUACCUAGGUUGAACUAUGCAGGAAAAGCCACAGAGAUGUGGUGUCCUUCGGGGCCUGCGAUAGGUGGUGCAUGGCUGUCGUCAGCUCGUGUCGUGAGAUGUUGGGUUAAGUCCCGCAACGAGCGCAACCCUUAUCCUAUGUUGCCAGCACGUAAUGGUGGGGACUCGUAGGAGACUGCCGGGGUCAACUCGGA
rnacentral:rRNA from 1 species